ensembl:lncRNA
GUAAGACUAGGCCAGUAAGACUAGGCCAGUAAGACUAGGCCAGUAAGGCUAGGCCAGUAAGACUAGGCCAGUAAGACUAGGCCACCUUCAUAACUCAUUUCCCAGACUGCUGCCAUUUUCUCUUGUUUCCUUACCAGUGUUUCAAUACAAUCAAAUAAAAUGUUUUUACAAAAGUAAUUUCUGAAUGGGAUAUGAGGAAAACAAACAACAACCAACACCUUAGGUAAGAUAAGAUACUGGUUCACUGAACAGAAAUAUAAAAUCAACCUGCAACAAGAUUUUACUGAGUAAUGUAACGGUCUUAUAAGGAAAUCAGUCAAUUUAAAUGAAUUAUUUAGGCCCUAAUCUUUGGAUUUCUCAUGACUUGGAAUACAAAUAUGCAUCUUUUGCUCACAGAUACCUAAAAAGGUUGGAGUGUGGAUCAGAAAACUAGUCAGUAUCUGGUGUGAUUACCAUUUGCCUCAUGCAGCGCAACACAUCUACUUCGCAUAGAGUUGAUCAGGCUGUUGAUUGUGGCCUGUGGAAUGUUGUCCCACUCCUCUUCAAUGGCUGUGUGAAGUUGCUGGAUAUUAGCAGGAACUGGAACACGCUGUCGUACGAGUCGAUCCAGAGCAUCCCAAACAUGCUCAAUAGGUGACAUGUCUGGUGAAUAUGCAGGUCAUUGAAGAACUGGGACAUUUUCAGCUUCCAGGAAUUGUGUACAGAUCCUUGCGACAUGGGGCCGUACAUUAUCAUGCUGAAACAUGAGGUGAUGGCGGUGGAUGAAUGUUACGACAAUGGGCCUCAGGAUCAUGUCAGAGUAUCUCUGAGCAUUUAAAUUGCCAUCAAUAAAAUGCAAUUGUGUUCACUGUCCAUAGCUUAUGCCUGCCCAUAACAUAACCCCACCACCACCCUGGGACACUCUGUUCACAGCGUUGACAUCAGCAAACCGCUCGCCCACACGACGCCGUACACGUUGUCUGCCAUCUGCCUGGUACAGUUCAAACCGGGAUUCAUCUGGGAAGAGCACACUUAUCCAGCGUGCCAGUGGCCAUCGAAGGUGAGCAUUUUCAACACCGAUGUCGGUUACGAUCUGCAGUCAGGGACAAGACCCUGGUGAGGACGACAAAAACUCAGAUAAGCUUCCCUGAAACGGUUUGUUGUAAAAUUCUUUAGGUUUGCAAACCCACAGUUUCAUCAGCUGAAAAUAUGCAACAAAAACAACGAUUUUACUGAGUUAGAGUUCACAUAAG